rnacentral:rRNA from 1 species
AUUGAACGCUGGCGGCAGGCCUAACACAAGCAAGUCGAGCGGAUGAAGAGAGCUUGCUCUCUGAUUUAGCGGCGGACGGGUGAGUAAUGCCUAGGAAUCUGCCUGGUAGUGGGGGAUAACGUUCCGAAAGGAACGCUAAUACCGCGUACGUCCUACGGGAGAAAGCAGGGGACCUUCGGGCCUUGCGCUAUCAGAUGAGCCUAGGUCGGAUUAGCUAGUUGGUGAGGUAAUGGCUCACCAAGGCGACGAUCCGUAACUGGUCUGAGAGGAUGAUCAGUCACACUGGAACUGAGACACGGUCCAGACUCCUACGGGAGGCAGCAGUGGGGAAUAUUGGACAAUGGGCGAAAGCCUGAUCCAGCCAUGCCGCGUGUGUGAAGAAGGUCUUCGGAUUGUAAAGCACUUUAAGUUGGGAGGAAGGGCGUUUGGCUAAUAUCCAGGCGUUUUGACGUUACCAACAGAAUAAGCACCGGCUAACUUCGUGCCAGCCGCCGCGGUAAGAC